AAAUCGUCUCACGACGUGACUUGAGAAAUGCAAGUAGCAACGAAAUAACAUUUAUUCAUAAGAUAUGAAACGGAGUCAAUGAGGAAUGAAUUUGUUUUCAUGAACAUAUGCCAGAAAUGGACUUCUUGGUCCAUGGAGUCUAAGCCAGGUCCAUGCAGCAAAGUUACAGUUUAAACUUGAAACAAAUUUUGCAAGCAUAAACUAAAGUUGAUGAGUUGUUAUAAUUAACUUCUAGUCUGUAUUACCUUUCAAAAAAUGAUCAAGAACAUGACUAGCUGAGGUCUAGCUGAGUCGUGGGAUCAUAUUCACAACCGAUACCAUUAAACUGGCUACAAGGGGAGAGGUAGUGUAACAGCCCAAAUCCAUCACUAACAGAUAUUGUCCGCUUUAGCCUAUUACAUAUCGCUGUCAGCUCCACGGUUUUUAAAACGCAUCUACUAGAGAGAAGUUUCCAUACUCUUAUAAAGAAUAUUUCGUUCUCCUCCCCAACCGAUGUGGGAUCUUACACAAACAAUGAAUAACUUCGGUUAGAGCAAAGCCCAAAAUGGCCUAACCAAAUGAUUGUUUAGCCAAUGAGGGACUAUGCCUAAGGCUGUUGUGGUUGUAGCUCCAUCAAUUAAUCUUUCCGUUCCUCAAAACAAGAACGAAAAAACAAGA